rnacentral:rRNA from 1 species
UACGUAGGGUGCGAGCGUUAAUCGGAAUUACUGGGCGUAAAGCGUGCGCAGGCGGUUCGUUAAGUCAGAUGUGAAAGCCCCGGGCUCAACCUGGGAACUGCAUUUGAAACUGGCGGGCUUGAGUAUGGCAGAUGGGGGUGGAAUUCCGCGUGUAGCAGUGAAAUGCGUAGAGAUGCGGAGGAACACCGAUGGCGAAGGCAGCCCCCUGGGCCAAUACUGACGCUCAGGCACGAAAGCGUGGGGAGCAAACAGG